UACAGAGGUGCCAAGCGUUAGGCGGAAUCACUGGGCUUAAAGCGCGCGUAGGCGGAUGUUUAAGUGUCUUGUGAAAUCCCACGGCUCAACCGUGGAACUGCUGGGCAUACUGGACAUCUCGAGGCACUCAGGGGCGAGCGGAACAAGUGGUGGAGCGGUGAGAUGCGUAGAUAUCACUUGGAACGCCAAUGGUGAAGACAGCUCGCUGGGGGUGUCCUGACGCUGAGGCGCGAAAGCCAGGGGAGCAAACGGG
rnacentral:rRNA from 1 species